UACGGGGGGGCAAGCGUUGUUCGGAAUUACUGGGCGUAAAGGGCUCGUAGGCGGCCCUCUCAGUCGGAUGUGAAAUCCCCAGGCUUAACCUGGGAACGGCAUCCGAUACUGGAGGGCUUGAAUUCGGGAGAGGGAUGCAGAAUUCCAGGUGUAGCGGUGAAAUGCGUAGAUAUCUGGAGGAAUACCGGUGGCGAAGGCGGCAUCCUGGACCGAGAUUGACGCUGAGGAGCGAAAGCUAGGGAGCAAACGGG
rnacentral:rRNA from 1 species